rnacentral:tRNA from 1 species
GGUGCUGUGGCUCAGUAGUAGAGAGUCAGUCCUGCAUGCAAAAGGUCCCAGGUUCAAUCCCCAGCAUCUCCA